GAUGAACGCUGGCGGCGUGCCUAAUACAUGCAAGUCGAGCGAACAGAUGAUGAGCUUGCUCCUCUGACGUUAGCGGCGGACGGGUGAGUAACACGUGGAUAACCUACCUAUAAGACUGGGAUAACUUCGGGAAACCGGAGCUAAUACCGGAUAAUAUAUUGAACCGCAUGGUUCAAUAGUUAAAGACGGUUUUGCUGUCACUUAUAGAUGGAUCCGCGCCGCAUUAGCUAGUUGGUAAGGUAACGGCUUACCAAGGCAACGAUGCGUAGCCGACCUGAGAGGGUGAUCGGCCACACUGGAACUGAGACACGGUCCAGACUCCUACGGGAGGCAGCAGUAGGGAAUCUUCCGCAAUGGGCGAAAGCCUGACGGAGCAACGCCGCGUGAGUGAUGAAGGUCUUCGGAUCGUAAAACUCUGUUAUUAGGGAAGAACAAAUGUGUAAGUAACUAUGCACGUCUUGACGGUACCUAAUCAGAAAGCCACGGCUAACUACGUG
rnacentral:rRNA from 1 species